UACGUAGGGUGCAAGCGUUAAUCGGAAUUACUGGGCGUAAAGCGUGCGCAGGCGGUGCUGUAAGACAGGCGUGAAAGCCCCGGGCUCAACCUGGGAAUUGCGAUGGAGACUGCAAGGCUUGAAUCUGGCAGAGGGGGAUGGAAUUCCGCGUGUAGCAGUGAAAUGCGUAGAUAUGCGGAGGAACACCAAUGGCGAAGGCAAUCCCCUGGGCCUGUACUGACGCUCAUGCACGAAAGCGUGGGGAGCAAACAGG
rnacentral:rRNA from 1 species